CAGUCGCCACGGGAAUACGUAGGGUGCAAGCGUUAAUCGGAAUUACUGGGCGUAAAGCGUGCGCAGGCGGUUUGUUAAGACAGAUGUGAAAUCCCCGGGCUCAACCUGGGAACUGCAUUUGUGACUGGCAAGCUAGAGUCUGGCAGAGGGGGGUGGAAUUCCGCGUGUAGCAGUGAAAUGCGUAGAUAUGCGGAGGAACACCGAUGGCGAAGGCAGCCCCAUGGGCCAACACUGACGCUCAUGCACGAAAGCGUGGGGAGCAAACAGGAUUAGAUACCCCCGUAGUCCCUGUCUCUUAUAA
rnacentral:rRNA from 1 species